UAAAAUCUCUGCAAAACCCCUCUUUUGAAGAUCAAGAGCACUCAGUGGGCAAACUAGCGGUUCUCACCGGAGAAAUCAACAACACUCGGCAAGAUGAGCGUGUACAUGAGUCGGCUAUUCCCGAGAUCCAAUUCAAGUUUUUUUCUACGCAGCGGACUCGCCUUGGAAGCCAAAGUUGUACGUUUGAGAGAAGAAAUGUACCUCAUAGACGCAGGGGUGGGCAGGCCCAGAAUCGCCACGCAGGAAGAGCUCAUCAAGCCCCCAGAAAUUGCGGGCCCUGCCCGUCUCACGAACCGCGUCGGGUUCCUCAACCCAUCGAAUCGAGAAUCGCCGGUGAAAAAUCUCGUCUUGCAGCGAUGCUUCGUUGAUUUGGUAACCGGAGAUUCUCGGAUCAAGCAGCAGGCCGCUGCCCGGUUCGAUGACAUGGUGGGGCAGACUGAAGUUGGUGGUGGAGGUGAGCAGCCGCUCCUCCUCCCGCGGAGGUUUAGAAAACACCGCGCGUGGAUGGAGCUGAAGAAUAAGUGGAGGGCCAACGCGAAGGUGAAAGGUUUCGUAGCGGAGAAAGUGAGGGGAGGGUAUUCGAUUGCGAUUGCAGGUUACCUUGCGUUUCUUCCAUCUCGGCAGGCUUACAAUCGGAAGAUUACAAGUGACCGAUUUAUGAUCGAGAGCGUGACCCCUAAGAAUAUUGUGGUUGCCAGAGCCGGAUGAUUGUUUGUUGAUCGUACUGAUGGGUGGUUUUCGGUAGAGUUUUACUUAAUCCUCUGCUCUUAGAGUUGUUUUUGUUUGGGCUCAAAGCAUUCCGCUGUAACCAAGAAAUGCAUGGAUCAGGAGGAAAGCUCCAGAAAAUAUACCCGCCCGUCCGUCACAUUUAAUUCAUCUUUGUUUACUUUGUUGGUUGGCCCUAUUAAGUAGCUUUAGUUGUGUUUGUAGAUUCGCUUCUGCCUGUUCUGCUAAGUUCCUAGCAUCAGCUUUAGAGAAUGGGCAAUUGGUUCUCACUCUCUUUCUUUUCCUUUAUAGAUACUACAGCAUGAUAAAGGUUUGAGGCUUAUUUGAAGCCCGACAUUUUGGAACUGGCUUUAAUUUUGUUGAACAUGCUACAUAUAAGUAAUAGCAUUGGUAUAUCUUCUCAUUGUUA